rnacentral:rRNA from 1 species
AUACGAAGGGGGCAAGCGUUGUUCGGAAUAACUGGGCGUAAAGCGCACGUAGGCGGAAUGUUAAGUUAGAGGUGAAAUCCCAGGGCUCAACCCUGGAACUGCCUUUAAUACUGGCAAUCUAGAGACCGAGAGAGGUGAGUGGAAUUCCGAGUGUAGAGGUGAAAUUCGUAGAUAUUCGAAGGAACACCAGUGGCGAAGGCGGCUCACUGGCUCGGUACUGACGCUGAGGUGCGAAAGCGUGGGGAGCAAACAGGAUUAGAAACCCUUGUAGUCC